AAGAGUCCCUGCUGCUUGGUGGAGAAGGAGACCUCUGUGGAAGUGUGUUGGUUGUGGAGUCUUGCCUGUCUUCUCUAUGGUAUCCACGGGGUUGUCCCAUGAUCCUAGGAGAGGAAAAACAUAAGCCAGCCUGAAGAUACGUCAAGCACAGCCACAGGAAUAAACUGCAAAAUCCCUAAGAAUCCAAAAGGAUCUGCAGGAUUUCUCAAGCCUGCCUAGAUGUCGAUGAAAUUCCAAGACAAUGGAGGAGUGUCCCUUCAUGAUGUGGAGAACCUGCUUGGCUCGAAACUGAAUUUGAGGUGAAGUUGUGGGACCCCAUUCAACCCUCAGCAGAUACUAUCCUCACCUGUAUCUGAC
rnacentral:lncRNA from 1 species